GACGAACGCUGGCGGCGUGCUUAACACAUGCAAGUCGAACGGAAAGGCCCUGAUUUUGUGGGGUGCUCGAGUGGCGAACGGGUGAGUAACACGUGAGUAACCUGCCCUUGAAUUAGGGAUAACUUCAGGAAACUGGGGCUCAUACCGGAUAGGAGCUCCUGCUGCAUGGUGGGGGUUGGAAAGAUUCGGCGGUUGGGGAUGGUCUAGCGGCUUAUGCGCUUGUUGGUGGGGUAGUGGAUUACCAAGGCUGUGACGGGUAGCCGGCCUGGGAGGGUGACCGGCGACAAGGGGACUAAGAUACGGCGCAGACUCCUACGGGAGGCAGCAGUGGGGAAUAUUGCACAGUGGGCGGAAGCCAGAUGCAGCAACGCCGCGUUCGGAAUGACGGCCUUCGGGUUGUAAACCGCUUUCGCCUGUGACGAAGCGUGAGUGACGGUAAUGGGUAAAGAAGCACCGGCUAACUACGUG
rnacentral:rRNA from 1 species